GCAGCGAUGACUUUUAUGGGAGCUGAUGGUCUCGUGGUAAGGUGUUGGGCUUGAGACCAGAAGAUCCUUGGUUCAAAUCCCAACCUGACUGGAAAAUCACUAAGGGCCCUUGGGCAAGGUCUUUAAUCCC